rnacentral:rRNA from 1 species
UACGGGGGGUGCGAGCGUUGUCCGGAAUCACUGGGCGUAAAGGGCGCGUAGGCGGCCGAUCAAGUCGGGGGUGAAAGCCUGUGGCUCAACCACAGAAUUGCCUUCGAUACUGUUUGGCUUGAGACCGGAAGAGGUUAGUGGAACUGCGAGUGUAGAGGUGAAAUUCGUAGAUAUUCGCAAGAACACCAGUGGCGAAGGCGGCUGACUGGUCCGGUUCUGACGCUGAGGCGCGAAAGCGUGGGGAGCAAGCAGG